GCGUGAGUGAAGAAGGCCCUAGGGUUGUAAAGCUCUUUCAGCUGUGAAGAUGAUGACGGUAGCAGCAGAAGAAGCCCCGGCUAACUCCGUGCCAGCAGCCGCGGUAAUACGGAGGGGGCUAGCGUUGCUCGGAAUUACUGGGCGUAAAGGGCGUGUAGGCGGACUAGCCAGUCAGGCGUGAAAGCCCCGGGCUUAACCUGGGAACUGCGCUUGAUACUGUUAGUCUAGAGUUCGGGAGAGGAUGGUGGAAUUCCCAGUGUAGAGGUGAAAUUCGU
rnacentral:rRNA from 1 species